rnacentral:rRNA from 1 species
UGGUGGGUAGUUUGACUGGGGCGGUCUCCUCCCAAAGAGUAACGGAGGAGCACGAAGGUGGGCUAAUCACGGUUGGACAUCGUGAGGUUAGUGCAAUGGCAUAAGCCCGCUUGACUGCGAGAAUGACAAUUCGAGCAGGUGCGAAAGCAGGUCAUAGUGAUCCGGUGGUUCUGAAUGGAAGGGCCAUCGCUCAACGGAUAAAAGGUACUCCGGGGAUAACAGGCUGAUACCGCCCAAGAGUUCAUAUCGACGGCGGUGUUUGGCACCUCGAUGUCGGCUCAUCACAUCCUGGGGCUGAAGUCGGUCCCAAGGGUAUGGCUGUUCGCCAUUUAAAGUGGUACGCGAGCUGGGUUUAGAACGUCGUGAGACAGUUCGGUCCCUAUCUGCCGUGGGCGUUGGAAGAUUGAAGGGGGCUGCUCCUAGUACGAGAGGACCGGAGUGGACGAACCUCUGGUGUUCGGGUUGUGUCGCCAGACGCAUUGCCCGGUAGCUAAGUUCGGAAUCGAUAACCGCUGAAAGCAUCUAAGCGGGAAGCGAGCCCUGAGAUGAGUCUUCCCUGAUACUUUAAGUAUCCUAAAGGGUUGUCGGAGACUACGACGUUGAUAGGUCAGGUGUGUAAGUGCUGUGAGGCAUUGAGCUAACUGAUACUAAUUGCCCGUGAGGCUUAACCAUACAACACCCA